UAUCUGAAGCCUGACGAGGAUGAGAACCUCCGGGGGCAAGAGGUUCGACCCGAGCGAAGCGAGAGAACGUUGCGUCAGCAACGGCCCGCAGGGCGAGCCACGCAGUGGCGAGUCAUCCUCUAUCACCGACCA
rnacentral:sRNA from 1 species